CGAAUACCGGAGAAUGUUAUCACGGGAGACACACGGCGGGUGCUAACGUCCGUCGUGAAGAGGGAAACAACCCAGACCGCCAGCUAAGGUCCCAAAGUCAUGGUUAAGUGGGAAACGAUGUGGGAAGGCCCAGACAGCCAGGAUGUUGGCUUAGAAGCAGCCAUCAUUUAAAGAAAGCGUAAUAGCUCACUGGUCGAGUCGGCCUGCGCGGAAGAUGUAACGGGGCUAAACCAUGCACCGAAGCUGCGGCAGCGACACUAUGUGUUGUUGGGUAGGGGAGCGUUCUGUAAGCCUGUGAAGGUGGCCUGUGAGGGUUGCUGGAGGUAUCAGAAGUGCGAAUGCUGACAUAAGUAACGAUAAAGCGGGUGAAAAGCCCGCUCGCCGGAAGACCAAGGGUUCCUGUCCAACGUUAAUCGGGGCAGGGUGAGUCGACCCCUAAGGCGAGGCCGAAAGGCGUAGUCGAUGGGAAACAGGUUAAUAUUCCUGUACUUGGUGUUACUGCGAAGGGGGGACGGAGAAGGCUAUGUUGGCCGGGCGACGGUUGUCCCGGUUUAAGCGUGUAGGCUGGUUUUCCAGGCAAAUCCGGAAAACCAAGGCUGAGGCGUGAUGACGAGGCACUACGGUGCUGAAGCGACAAAUGCCCUGCUUCCAGGAAAAGCCUCUAAGCAUCAGGUAACAUCAAAUCGUACCCCAAACCGACACAGGUGGUCAGGUAGAGAAUACCAAGGCGCUUGAGAGAACUCGGGUGAAGGAACUAGGCAAAAUGGUGCCGUAACUUCGGGAGAAGGCACGCUGAUAUGUAGGUGAAGCGACUUGCUCGUGGAGCUGAAAUCAGUCGAAGAUACCAGCUGGCUGCAACUGUUUAUUAAAAACACAGCACUGUGCAAACACGAAAGUGGACGUAUACGGUGUGACGCCUGCCCGGUGCCGGAAGGUUAAUUGAUGGGGUUAGCGGCAACGCGAAGCUCUUGAUCGAAGCCCCGGUAAACGGCGGCCGUAACUAUAACGGUCCUAAGGUAGCGAAAUUCCUUGUCGGGUAAGUUCCGACCUGCACGAAUGGCGUAAUGAUGGCCAGGCUGUCUCCACCCGAGACUCAGUGAAAUUGAACUCGCUGUGAAGAUGCAGUGUACCCGCGGCAAGACGGAAAGACCCCGUGAACCUUUACUAUAGCUUGACACUGAACAUUGAGCCUUGAUGUGUAGGAUAGGUGGGAGGCUUUGAAGUGUGGACGCCAGUCUGCAUGGAGCCGACCUUGAAAUACCACCCUUUAAUGUUUGAUGUUCUAACGUUGGCCCGUAAUCCGGGUUGCGGACAGUGUCUGGUGGGUAGUUUGACUGGGGCGGUCUCCUCCUAAAGAGUAACGGAGGAGCACGAAGGUUGGCUAAUCCUGGUCGGACAUCAGGAGGUUAGUGCAAUGGCAUAAGCCAGCUUGACUGCGAGCGUGACGGCGCGAGCAGGUGCGAAAGCAGGUCAUAGUGAUCCGGUGGUUCUGAAUGGAAGGGCCAUCGCUCAACGGAUAAAAGGUACUCCGGGGAUAACAGGCUGAUACCGCCCAAGAGUUCAUAUCGACGGCGGUGUUUGGCACCUCGAUGUCGGCUCAUCACAUCCUGGGGCUGAAGUAGGUCCCAAGGGUAUGGCUGUUCGCCAUUUAAAGUGGUACGCGAGCUGGGUUUAGAACGUCGUGAGACAGUUCGGUCCCUAUCUGCCGUGGGCGCUGGAGAACUGAGGGGGGCUGCUCCUAGUACGAGAGGACCGGAGUGGACGCAUCACUGGUGUUCGGGUUGUCAUGCCAAUGGCACUGCCCGGUAGCUAAAUGCGGAAGAGAUAAGUGCUGAAAGCAUCUAAGCACGAAACUUGCCCCGAGAUGAGUUCUCCCUGAGACUUAGAGUCUCCUGAAGGAACGUUGAAGACGACGACGUUGAUAGGCCGGGUGUGUAAGCGCAGCGAUGCGUUGAGCUAACCGGUACUAAUGAACCGUGAGGCUUAACCUU
rnacentral:rRNA from 1 species